ensembl:snRNA U6 U6 spliceosomal RNA
GUGCUUGCUUCAGCAGCACAUAUACUAAAACUGGAAUGAUGCUGAGAAUAUUAGCAUGGCCCCUGCUCAAGGAUGACAUGCAAAUUUGUGAAGUGUUUCAUAUUAAA